AAUCAUAUAAAAAAAAAAAUUCAAAUACCCCCUGUAGUUUCGUACUUUCUCAUAUUAGUACCCUGUGAUUUAAAGUGUAUCAUGUUAGUACUCUGUGGUUUCAUUUUUGUAUCAACUUAGUAUCCUGUGAUUUCAUUUUUCUCUUUUUAUUAUUUAUUUCGGAAUAUUUUUUUCGUUAAAUUAGUGACAAAGUUAAAACUAAAUGAUACUAAAAUGAAUAUUCGAUAAAUCUAGAUGGGGUAUCUGAAGUUUUUUUUAUAUAUAAUUUAACGAAAUAUUUAAAUCACAGGGUACUAAAGUGAAAAAAUACGAAACCACAGGAUAUUAAUUAACUUGAUACACUUUAAACCACAGGAUACUAAAGUGAGAAAGUGCAAAACCACAAAGUACUAAUUUGAUACACUUUAAAACAUAUGGUACUAAAAUGAAAGUGUGAAACCACAGGGAAAGUAUUUGAAGUUUUUUCUAUAAAAAAUUUCAAAUAUCUCAUUUAUAGUUUGUCAAAUAUUCAUUUUAGUAUCCUGUGAUUUUAAUUUUAUAUGGAUGGAAUAACGGAAAGAAAAAAAAAAAAUCACAAGGGUAAUAUUUAAAGUUUUUAUUUAUUUAUUUAUUUAU
rnacentral:lncRNA from 1 species